ACAAUAGACUACCCGGGUAGUCCACGCCCUAAACGAUGCGAACUGGAUGUUGGGUACAUUACGGUACUCAGUGUCGAAGCUAACGCGUUAAGUUCGCCGCCUGGGGAGUACGGUCGCAAGACUGAAACUCAAAGGAAUUGACGGGGGCCCGCACAAGCGGUGGAGUAUGUGGUUUAAUUCGAUGCAACGCGAAGAACCUUACCUGGCCUUGACAUCUGUCGAAUCCUGCAGAGAUGCAGGAGUGCCGCAAGGAACGACAAGACAGGUGCUGCAUGGCUGUCGUCAGCUCGUGUCGUGAGAUGUUGGGUUAAGUCCCGCAACGAGCGCAACCCUUGUCCCUAGUUGCCAGCACGUAAUGGUGGGAACUCUAGGGAGACUGCCGGUGACAAACCGGAGGAAGGUGGGGAUGACGUCAAGUCCUCAUGGCCCUUACGGCCAGGGCUACACACGUACUACAAUGGUCGGUACAGAGGGUUGCGAAGCCGCGAGGUGGAGCCAAUCCCAGAAAACCGAUCCCAGUCCGGAUCGGAGU
rnacentral:rRNA from 1 species